rnacentral:misc_RNA from 1 species
GUGAAUCAUCGAAUCUUUGAACGCAAAUUGCACUCUCCUCGGAGAGUAUGCCUGUUUGAGGGUCAGCCCAUAAAAAAUCGACAUAGUCGCUGUUUCGCGGUGGCAUUCGUCGGGAAUUGGGUCAUCUUAAACCUUUUGGUUUUAAGCGGCUUAAAAUUUUCUUUAUGAUUCCAUGAACGUUUCUAAGAUUUAUUUCUUACACGUUUAAAGGUAUCGAUUUUUAUUAGACGUGGCCAUUGCAUCGGAUCGCGCCCAUAAAUAUUUCUUUACUGAACUUCG